UACAGAGGGUGCAAGCGUUGUUCGGAAUUACUGGGCGUAAAGCGCGUGUAGGCGGUCUAGCAAGUCGGGUGUGAAAUCCCUUGGCUUAACCAAGGAACUGCAUUCGAAACUACUAAACUAGAGUAUCGGAGGGGGUGGCGGAAUUCCCGGUGUAGAGGUGAAAUUCGUAGAUAUCGGGAGGAACACCUGUGGCGAAGGCGGCCACCUGGAAGAUUACUGACGCUGAGACGCGAAAGCGUGGGGAGCAAACAGG
rnacentral:rRNA from 1 species